UACGGAGGGGGCUAGCGUUGUUCGGAAUUACUGGGCGUAAAGCGCACGUAGGCGGCUUUGUAAGUUAGAGGUGAAAGCCCAGGGCUUAACCCUGGAAUUGCCUUUAAGACUGCAUCGCUAGAAUCGUGGAGAGGUGAGUGGAAUUCCGAGUGUAGAGGUGAAAUUCGUAGAUAUCGGGAGGAACACCUGUGGCGAAAGCGGCGCACUGGACCAUAACUGACGCUGAGGCGCGAAAGCUAGGGGAGCAAACAGG
rnacentral:rRNA from 1 species